rnacentral:rRNA from 1 species
GAUGAACGCUAGCGGCAGGCCUAACACAUGCAAGUCGAGGGGUAGAGUUCUUCGGAACUUGAGACCGGCGCACGGGUGCGUAACGCGUAUGCAAUCUACCUUAUACAGGGGAAUAGCCCAGAGAAAUUUGGAUUAAUGCCCCAUAGUAUUAUUGAAUGGCAUCAUUUAAUAAUUAAAGUUCCAACGGUAUAAGAUGAGCAUGCGUCCCAUUAGUUAGUUGGUAAGGUAACGGCUUACCAAGACGAUGAUGGGUAGGGGUCCUGAGAGGGAGCUCCCCCCCACUGGUACUGAGACACGGACCAGACUCCUACGGGAGGCAGCAGUGAGGAAUAUUGGUCAAUGGUCGCAAGGCUGAUCCAGCCAUGCCGCGUGCAGGAAGACGGCCCUAUGGGUUGUAAACUGCUUUUGUACCAGAGAAAACCUAUCUACGUGUAGAUAGCUGAUAGUAUGGUAAGAAUAAGCAUCGGCUAACUUCGUGCCAGCAGCCGCCGUAACAC